UACAGAGGUCCCGAGCGUUGUCCGGAAUUAUUGGGCGUAAAGAGCGUGUAGGCGGCCCGAUUAGUCCGCUGUGAAAGUCCAGGGCUCAACCCUGGAAUGCCGGUGGAUACUGUCGGGCUAGAGUCCGGAAGGGGCGAGUGGAAUUCCUGGUGUAGCGGUGAAAUGCGCAGAUAUCAGGAAGAACACCCGUGGCGAAGGCGGCUCUCUGGGACGGUACUGACGCUGAGACGCGAAAGCGUGGGGAGCGAACAGG
rnacentral:rRNA from 1 species